UGGUCGGAGCAUGAGACGGUACACGAGAAGCUAAACGAUGGCAUCGACCAGGGACACACCGAAUGGCAUAUUAGUCGGUAUACGAUGGUUAUUGUUGGUACACGAGUUGGAACGCUAGUCGGUUUACGAGAAUGACGCCCCCGAGUGGACACGUCGUUUGGGGCUUGCCCUUGACGGCGUGCCUGCGCCAACGGUUGGUCUAGGCCAAUCGGGCUGAAGUGAAGUUGUGGUCACACAACAUCAUUGAGGCAAGUUGGCAUGCGACCCGUUGAUCGAUAUCGAUAGUGCGAUUGGUUGCGCAAGCUGCGGCUAGUGACCAAACGUUACUACGAUAUCGAUCAACAGGUGUGCAUCGAGGCAUGUUGGUUUCGUUGNUUUUUUUUUUUGGUUACUUUCGCAUCGUUCGGUGCAUUCUGGGGACUGUUUUGGCUUUUGGUUGCUUGCUUGGCUUUUUGCCGGGUGGGUCGCUACUAGUUGGGCGGUUUUCGGGAAUGUCAACCGUGGAGGUGCAUGAGUGGUGUUUGGUUUGUUACGGGUGGUUGGCUGUCUGCUCGCGCAGCAACGUCCACGCGUGCAUACCUCUUCAGUUUUGCGGCAAGGCUUCGAACGUCUUGAGCUUAUUGUGGGUUUCCUGUGUUGCAUACCUAACCGAUGGUAACAUGUGGGAUUUAUGAUGUCCCUUUUCGUCAUGYGUCGCUCAUGCGGUGUGAGAUGAACGUUGAAGCRGUCUUUGUGAUCCACCUUGUUGUUGCAAUUGCAACGAUGAUGUGGCCUAUGAAGCAUCGCUUGGUCUCUUGUAUACGGAACCUGAUGUGGGCAUGGGUCUUCUAAGAUCCUCAAUUUGCCCUCGUUAAGCGUUCUCGCUUCUCCAAAACGAUUGUCUACCAUGUCUUGGCUUGUCCUGGCAUGGUGGGCUACGUCGA
rnacentral:misc_RNA from 1 species